rnacentral:rRNA from 1 species
AUACGGAGGACGCGAGCGUUAUCCGGAUUCAUUGGGUUUAAAGGGUGCGCAGGCGGCCGUGCAAGUCAGCGGUGAAAGCCCGGGGCUCAACCCCGGAAGUGCCGUUGAUACUGCAUGGCUGGAAUGCGGUCGAGGCGGGCGGGACGUGGCGUGUAGGGGGGAAAUGCGUGGUUAUGCCGCAGAACGCCGGUAGCGGGGGCAGCCGGCCAGGCCUGCAGGGACGCUCGGGCACGAAAGCGGGGGGAUCGAACAGGAUUAGAGACCCUGGUAGUCCACGCCGUAAACGAUGGGCGCUCGUCGUCGGCGACAGACAGUCGGCGGCCAAGCGAAAGCGAUAAGCGCCCCACCUGGGGAGUACGGUCGCAAGGCUGAAACUCAAAUGAAUUGACGGGG